CAGAGCCAUCUUUCCAUGUGGUCUCUUACGGGACAUGCAAGGUUAUUUAUGUAAUUUGCCAAUUCAGCUAGAUGGUUUGCUGUGCUAUCAAUUCUACAGCUGGUUACUAUUGUACAGAAUAAGUGCAUGUAUAUAUACGUUUGUACUGCUUCCUUUUGGCAUAUAUGAAAUACUCCAGUUUCUCUCUCUACUCUGUAAUCAGCUUCUCUCCAAUUAAGGCGUAAACUUUACAUGGCAUCAGAGCAGAAUUUGCUUCCUGCUGCUGCUUUCCUGAGAUUUAAUUCAUCUCAUUUUUCCUGUAUUCUGCUCAAAGAAAGCAGAUCUGUGGUUUCUUCCAUUUCGACACAAUUCUGGAAGUGUCAUUCCCAGAAUUUUCAUAUCUCUGUGGUUUUCUCUCUUCUGAAACUGAUCAUUGAGAUUCAGUCCACUGGAUUUCGAUUUACCUUCAUUCUUAUUCAAUUCGAAGAGGUUUUAUGAAGGACGUUGAAGAACAGUGAUUGCUCGAAGGUGUAACUGGUAUCGAGACCUUCAUUCAUGGUGACAAAUUCAGAAGCUGAAAUUGAAGAAUCGACUGAUACUCCUACACCGAAAGCUGAUCACGGUGAAGAUCUGUUGCUUGCAACUCAUCGACUGAUAUCGGAUCUCUCGAGCCCUUACUACGUGCACUAUGGAGAUAACAUAGGUAUGCAGAUUGUUUCAGUUGUUCUCUCUGAUGAGAAUUAUUCAACCUGGAGUCGUGCUGUGGAAAUGGCAUUAAGUGUGAAAAAUAAGGAAGGUUUUAUUGAUGGUUCGAUAGUGAAACCCGCCAUGAAUUCACCUUUGUAUGCUGCUUGGCGUAAAUGCAAUCAUAUUGUUUCAUCAUGGAUUAUUAAUUCAAUUCCUAAGGAACUAUAUCCUAGUGUUAUGCAUAAGGACUCAGCACGUGAGAUCUGGCUCGAAUUGAAAGAUAGAUACAGUCAGGGCAAUGGACCUAGAAUUUACCAAUUGAAGAAGCUAAUUGCUUCAAUUUCACAAGGGAAUGGAUCUGUAAGUGCCUAUUUUAAUAGGCUGAAAGGCUUACAGGAAGAGUUGUCGAACUAUAGGCCAUAAACUCAUAAUUCUUAUCAUGAAGAAGAACAAAUACUGCAAUUUUUAAUGGGACUGGAUGAGUGUUAUUCCAAUGUGAGAAGUCAGAUUUUACUAAUGGAGCCUCUGCCCCCACUGAACAAAGUGUUUGCCUUAGUUCAGAAGGAUGAAAAACAGAGAGAUGUGGCAUCAAGGAGUCGGAUUAAUGUGGAAACCAGUGCAUUCGUUAGUAGAUUAAUGCGUAAUCCUAUGAGCUGUGGAGGUAACCAAAGAACAGCAAAUAUGAAUCAAAAUUACAAGAAGGAUAGACCUAAGUGUAGUUACUGUGGGAUGCUUGGACAUAUACAGGGAAAGUGCUACAAACUCCAUGGAUAUCCUCCAGGACAUAGGUUGGCAAACGAGAAAGGAAAAGGAUAUAUUUCGAGUGCUAAUCAGGUGAUGGGAACUGCUACCUCCUCUGAUCUGUCAGGUGCAUUCUCUAACCUAACAUUUACUUCAGAACAAUGCCAGCAAUUUCCCAACAUGCUGAAACCACAGAUUCAUGCUCAGCUCUCAAAUUUGAUUACUCAAUCUGGUAGUACUGAAAACCAGAGUCAAACAAACCUUGCAUUGCCAUGUUUCCACAUUCCCAGGUAAUAACUUCUGCCUAGCAGUCUCAAUUAUAAGGUAUAAGUGGAUAAUUGAUACUGGGGCAACAAACCACACAGUGUGCUGUAUUGAUCAUCUAUCCACUAUCACUGCUAGAGUAAGUGCAAGUAUCAAACUUCCAAAUGGAGAUGAGGCUCAUGUGACUCACAUAGGAACUGUAAAGCUAUCUGAAAGGCUAUCAUUAACCAAUGUGUUAUGCAGUCCCUCUUUUAAAUGUAAUCUAAUCUCUGCCAGCAAACUCAUCCUUUCACACCAAUGUUGCUUAAUAUUUCUGUCUGAUCAUUGUCUUAUUCAGGACCUUUCUACGUGGCCAAUGAUUGGAGUGGGGAAACUUGAAGCUGGAUUGUAUCACUACCAGCUUAGUACUCCUUCAAACAACGGUCCAUCACUCCCUGCAUGCCCCAUCAAAUCUGCACCACAUCAAUUCAAUACAUUCUCUUCCGUACUUGUAGAUGCUGGCUGUAAUAAAGUCAUAAAUCAUGACUAUGUUUCUAGUCUCAAUGUUGUCACAAAAGUGCCUUUUGAACUAUGGCACUAUAGGUUAGGACAUGUUCCCCAUUCUAGAAUUUCCAUGUUGCAAAAACUUGUACCUGAAAUUGUAUCGAAUUCUGAAUUUCAUUGUAGUAUUUGUCCUAUGGCAAAGCAACAUAGGUUGCCUUUUCCUUACAGUAUGCAUAUAUUUCAAUCUUGUUUUAAACUUGUUCAUUGUGAUGUAUGGGGUCCUUUUCAAUCUCAUUCCCUUGAUGGUUCACAAUAUUCUUUUACUAUAGUGGAUG
rnacentral:lncRNA from 1 species